GAAGGGGCCCAGAGGACUGCUACUCCUCACACCCGAAGUUAACUACUCGGACCCGUCA
rnacentral:tRNA from 1 species